rnacentral:sRNA from 1 species
AAAGCGACGGAGCCCGGUGGACGGAAGUGGGUGUUGGAGGCUUUAAGGUAGCUUUAAAUUCGUGUUGUCCUGGGAGCUCGCCCUUUUCGGCUGGAGUCGGGCUUUACGGCGCCGGAUGGCUCUGGACGUGAAGUCUCGGGCAAAGCGUUAUGAGAAGCUGGACUUCCUUGGGGAGGGACAGUUUGCCACCGUUUACAAGGCCAGAGAUAAGAAUACCAACCAAAUUGUCGCCAUUAAGAAAAUCAAACUUGGACAUAGAUCAGAAGCUAAAGAUGGUAUAAAUAGAACCGCCUUAAGAGAGAUAAAAUUAUUACAGGAGCUAAGUCAUCCAAAUAUAAUUGGUCUCCUUGAUGCUUUUGGACAUAAAUCUAAUAUUAGCCUUGUCUUUGAUUUUAUGGAAACUGAUCUAGAGGUAAGAUUAAGAUUCCUGGAGAAAUUCCUUUGUCCCAGUUUAUCAAACAAGAACCUAAAUAUUUGUUUUCUACCUAAGAAGAUACUGGUAGUAAAAGAAAAAAAGCUUAAUUUUGUUGAAAUUUGGAUGUACUCUGAGGCAAAAGGAUCUCGAGUUAUUUUCUUCUAAUCAUUUAGUGAUAUCCCCAGUGUUACAUACAAAGAUUUGGAUUUCAUUGGCAUUUCUGCCUUCUAAGUUCCCAUAGAUAGUUGACGUCAUUUUUGGAGAAAUGAGCAUUAGACCUAUAAGAUUUGUUUGCUUUUUUUUUUUUUUGUGAUGGAGUCUCAGUCUGUUCACCCAGCCUGGAGUGCAAUGGCGUGAUCUCGGCUCUCUGCAGCCAUCACUUCCUGGGUUCCAGUGAUUCUCUCACUUCAGCCUCCCAAGUAGCUGGGAUUACAGGUGCCACCAUGCCCAGCUAAAUUUUAUAUUUUAAGUAGAGGCGGGGUGUCACCAU